CUAUUUCUUGGGCCGCUCCGGCGGCAUAUGGAGGUUCCCAGGCUAGGGGUCCAAUCAGAGCUGUAGCCACCGGCCUACGCCAGAGCCACAGCAAUGCGGGAUCCGAGCCGCGUCUGCGACCUACACCACAGCUCAGGGCAACGCCAGAUCCUUAACCCGCUGAGCAAGAGCAGGGACCGAACCCGCAACCUCAUGGUUCCUAGUUGGAUUCGUUAACCACUGCGCCACGACGGGAGCACUUCACUUGUGUCCACAGCAGCCCUCUGAUGACUGUUCCUGCCCCCACCCAACGGUGGCAGACAAGGCUCAGCGAGAGUAGGAGCCUUCCGCUGGGCCGCCCAGCGAGGGGGAGAGCGCUCCAAACCAGAUGUGUUGCUGGGUGGCAGAGCUGCGCUGGGAGCCACCAUCCAGGCAGGCAGGCUCCUCGGCCUCCACCGAUGCCCUUUGGGUUGAAAAGCCUUGAAAUGAACUUGAGUGAGACCCUUUGUUUUCUCAGGGAGCUAAGUUUCCUAGACAGCUCAUGCGAAAGCGUCUCAACUUUUAAAAGUAUCUUACCCACUCUGGAAGAAACCUCCCAUCUGUUAUGAGACACGCCUCCUGGCUUUGCUCUGUGUUAAACAGGCUUGGUUUUUUUCUCCACGGUUUAAGGGACAUUAACUGGAGGAAGGGGCAGUGACAGCCUCACUCCAGCUGUGUUUGUGCCACCCUGAGGGGAGGCGGGAAGUUUGGGGAACAAGAGUCACUGGUGGGAACAGGUGUUCAGGCCAAAGAAUCCCAAAGAGGCUGGCGCUGCUGCCGGGGGAGCGAACGGAAGCAGAUGGACAGAGGCCAGGUCAUCCGCGGGGGUUAGAACUCAUUAGAUCAAAGCUAAGAAUGAGGGCGAGCGGGAGCCGGGUCAGCAUCUGGAAUCCCUCCCAGCAGGGGUGACGGGGGCGGGCGUGGGGCCAGCUGUGCCCUUUUAUCUGGACGAUUCCAAGUGUCGGUCCUCCCCCAGGCCCACCCGCCCAGACGGGACCAGGAGGCUCAGGAUGAAAGGGGCUCCCAGGGCAGGUGGGCGGCUGCACCUUCCUUUGGCCCCUCCCCUGGCCUCUCCUCAUCGGUCCACAUGGGAUGGCCAGCCUCCUCCUGGGGACAGGCGUCUCUCUGUGACAGGUGACACUCGGCGGGGGGCCAGUCUGGAGACAAACCCGGGCUCCCCCAGUUACGAGGUGGUGUGAUCUUAAGCAAGUCACCAACCCUUGGUUUCCUCAUCCGUCAAAUGGGAAGAAGGAGAACAGACCCUUGCAGGACUGGUGGCGGGGUGGCAUUCUCAGGGCAGCUCUGCCUCAGGGUGAGCUGGUGCCGUUACUAGCCGACAGCGCUCCCCUCUUCCAGCCUCAGCUUGGCCUCCUAACAGUUGAUCCUUUUGUCUUUCCAGGGUCUCACUUCCUGUCAACCAAACAGAACCGGGGGUACAGGCUCCUUCUGCCCCGGGGGGCACCUGGGAGAGCAGGCCUGGGCGGCUCUGCUGCCCAUCCCCCACGGCCCCUCCCAGCUUCUGCUUGGCAUCCGUCCUGCCCCUUUUUACAUCCAUGGAUGACACACCUGCAUUCCUGGAGUGCUGGGAGGGGGGGACAUUCUGGUUUUCCAGGUCCCCAGGGGGCAGGACUCCAGCGUGGGUGGGGGAGGGGGUGCGGGUGAAGCUGCCUCGGGAAGCACUGUGCUGAGUGUCCACAGUCAUUGUACACACCUCCCAGAGCCACUGUCCCCUCACCCGUCCUUCACGAACUCCCAGCACGUGCUGCGGCCAACAGGUGCUGCCCAGCCCGGCCCACAGGGAUGGAGCCCUCCCCACCCACCAAGGCACUGGACCAGACCCGGAGGUAAGAGAAACCGCCACGUGACACCGACACUCCAAAGGGGGUAGUGAGACACAGGCAGGCCUGUCUGGUAUCAUGUGGAAGGUUCUAGACAGGCUUGUGGGACCUCCACUUGUCUUUUUUUUUUUUUUUCUCCGUUUCCUUUUUUUUGGCUUUUUAGGGCCACACACAUGGCAUACGGAGGUUCCCAGGCUAGGGGUCGAAUCGGAGCUGUAGCCACCUGCCUACACCACAGCCACAGCAAUGCCAGAUCCGAGCCUGGUCUGCGACCUACACCACAGCUCACAGCAACGCCGGAUCUUUAACCCAAGGAGCGAGGACAGGGAUCGAACCCACGUCCUCAUGGACACGAGUCGGGUUCGUUAGCACAGAGCCAAGAUGGGAACUCCCUCCACUUGUCUUCAGCUGUGACUGGGAGGCUGGGCGCGAGGGCACCUCUGUGUAGACAACACAGAGACUGGAGUCAGCUUGGGGCUGUGAUUCCAACACCCACCCACAGGGCACUCCUGGACCCCCAGCAAGCACUUAAUAAAAUCUGUUGAUUGCAGACACCAGCAACCUGUGGGUCCAGCCCCCCCACCUCCAAGCCACCCCAGUC
rnacentral:lncRNA from 1 species